rnacentral:rRNA from 3 species
ACGUCUGGUUCAGGGUUGU